AAGCGGAACGCGUAAAAUGAACGGUAACCCUCAUAAAAUCUACUAAACGCUCCUUUGCUGCCGGUGCUCUUCUUUCUGCAAUCAUUUUGCUUUCUCUGUUUAUCAAAUCACAAAGGCAUAAUGAUUAUCGCUUGUGGAUUGCAUGAAGUUCAGUCGAGUUUAGCGAUUGUGACUUGCCAUGUUUGAUGUGGUUACCCUCUUUAGAAUCUUAUCUUCUCUAGCAUGUAUUAUUUGUCUUCGAUAAAGAACAGAUUGUCUUCUACCCAAUAUCAAAAUAAUUUGCAUUUUUUCUCCGUGUAUAACCAAGAGGCAUUGUCAUACCCAUUGAUUUGUGAAGUCGAUUUUAUCAUUGAAUUUU